CCCUACGGGGYGCACCAGGCGCGCAAACUUUACAAUGCGAGCAAUCGUGAUAAGGAAACCCUGAGUGCCUGUCGAUGCAGGCUGUUCAUAUAUCUAAAUCAUAUGUGAAGAAAGGGCAGGGCAAGACCGGUGC
rnacentral:rRNA from 1 species